rnacentral:rRNA from 14 species
AAAAAGCAUUAAGGGGAUGCCUAGGUGUCAAAUAAAUUUAUGAACGUUUAGUAAAACGAAAUGUCAGAAGUAAAUUAAGGAAAAUUUUUGAUCUCUGACGAUUCAUUCACAGGAAACUGUUGCUCAAUGCAUUUCAAUUUGAAAAAAAACGAGGGGAACUGAAACAUCUAAGUACCUUUUGGAAAAGAAAUCAACCGAGAGACCGUAAAUAGUGGCGAGCGAACGCGGUUUAGGCUUAAAAUGUUAAAAAAUUUCUUUUGAAUACCUGUGCCAUAGAGGGUAAAAGCCCCGUAAAAAGAAAAAUUUCGCAUUUUUUUAGUAUUACGUUAUCAAGUUAUCUCGUAUGAAUAAUGGGGUACCAUCCUCAAAGCCUAAAAAAUAUUUGACAACCGAUAGUGCACAAGUACCGUGAGGGAAAGGUGAAAAAAGAGGACACUCCCAGUGAAAAGAACCUGAAACUUAAUGCUGUUAUCUCUAGGAGCUUUCAUAGUGACUAGUUACCUUUUGCAUAAUGGGUCAGCGACUUUGUAUGUAUGGCGAGCUUAAACUAUUAGGUGUAGGCGUAGUGAAAACGAUUAAUAAAUAUUAAGUCAUGUGUGCAAAACCCGAAACUGAGUGAUCUAACCAUGAACAGGCUGAAGAAUUCACGGUAACGUUUUUCGAAGGGCCGAACCCGUGUAUGUGGCAAAAUACUGGGAUGAUUUGUGGUUAGGGGUGAAAGGCCAAUCAAACUCAGAGAUAGCUGGUUUUCUGCGAAAUCUAUUUAAGUAGAGUGUUUAUUGCAAUGUCUGAGGUAGAGCUCUCUUUUAGUGCGGGGUUGUAUAUCUUCUACCAAUCUUUUGGAAACUUCGAAUGCGGAAUCAUUUGCUAUAAACAAACAGACUUUGGGUGCUAAGAUCCAAGGUCGAGAGGGAAACAGCCCAGAUUGAACGCUAAGGACCUUAAAAAUACAGAAGUUAAAGGAAGUUUAAAACUUUAAACAGCCAGGAGGUAGGCUUAGAAGCAGCCAUCCUAUGAUGAAAGCGUAGCAGCUCACUGGUCUAGGUUUUUUGCGCCGAAGAUUUAAUGGGAUUAAAAGUAUUUUCCGAAGCGGCAAAAUCCGACAGAUUUGUCGGAUUGGUAGCAGAAUGUUCUGUAAGUUUAAAAAGCCAAGCUGUGAGGUUUGGUGAAGACAUCAGAAGUAAGAAUGCUGACAUAAGUAACGAUAAAGAGUGUAAAAACACUCUCGCUGUAAACCCAAGGUUUUCGACGUCAAGCUAAACUUCGUCGAAGAGAAAUUCGAUACAUAAAACGGCCCCUAAGAAUAUAGUGAAAACUCGUUUCGAUGGGUAACAAAAUACUGUUUUGGAAGUUGUGACAAAGGGUUCGAAUUUUGUUUAAAAAAUAACAUUUUUUUGCAAAUUAAUCUUUUCAAGAAAAAGCACUUCCUUUUGUACCGUACUGUAAACUGACACAAGUGGGUGGGUUGAGUAAACUAAAGCGCUUGAGAGAACUGUGUAAAAGGAACUCGGCAAAAUGGCUCCGUAACUUCGGGAUAAGGAGUGACUUUUGAUUCAAAAAAUGUUUUAAGAGUUGUCACAAAAUCGGAAGAAGUAACUGUUUAACAAAAACACAGGUCUCUGCAAAUUCGCAAGAAAAGGUAUAGAGGCUGACGCCUGCCCGGUGCUGCAAGGUUAAGGGGAUAUGUUUUGGCAUUGAACUUAAGCCCCAGUAAACGGCGGCCGUAACUCUGACGGUCCAAAGGUAGCGAAAUUCUUUGCCACCUAAUUAGUGGCCUGCAUGAAUGGCGUAAUAACUUCUUUACUGUCUCUUACACAGACUCAGUGAAAUUGAAAUAUCCGUGAAGAUGCGGAUUACUCACAGCUAGACGGAAAGACCCCGUGCACCUUUACUGCAUUUAUUAACUGCAAAAAUGUUUUUAUUGUGUAGAAUAGGUGGGAGCGCUUUACUAAUCUUUUUGGUUAUGUAAGUGCGAUCGUGAAAUACCACCCUUUAUUUAUGUUAUUGCUAACUUGUUUAUACAAGGACAGUUUAUAAUUGGUAGUUUGACUGGGGCGGUCGCCUUCUAAAAGGUAACGAAGGCGUGCAUAAGGUAGACUCAAAUAAAAAAUAUUUAUUGAAGAGUGCAAUAGCAUAAGUUUGCUUGACUGUAAGAGUUACAACUCGAACAGGGGCGAAAGCCGGCUAUAGUGAUCCGGUGAUUCUGUAUGGAAGGGUCAUCGCUCAACGGAUAAAAGGUACGCCGGGGAUAACAGGCUAAUGACUCCUUAGAGUUCCUAUCGACGGAGUCGUUUGGCACCUCGAUGUCGGCUAGUCACAUCCUGGAGCUGAAGCAGGUUCCAAGGGUUCGGUUGUUCGCCGAUUAAAGUGGCACUUGAGCUGGGUUCAGAACGCCGUGAGGCAGUUUGGUCCCUAUCUACUGUGAGCGUUAAGAAAAUUGAAAAAAGUAGACCCUAGUACGAGAGGACCGGGAAAAGUAAACCUCUGGUGUAGCGAUUGUUUCUAUAGAAGCACAGUCGCGUAGCUACGUUUAUAUUAGAUAAUCGCUGAAAGCAUCUAAGUGAGAAACUAUUUUUAAGACAUGUUUUCUUUUUUAAGAGCCGUGAUAUAACAUCACGUUGAUAGGUGUAGCGUGUAAGGAUCGUAAGAUCUUUAAGCGACUACAUACUAAAAGUUCGAUAU